GGGUUGUGAGGUUAAGCGACUAAGCGUACACGGUGGAUGCCCUGGCAGUCAGAGGCGAUGAAGGGCGUGCUAAUCUGCGAUAAGCGCCGGUAAGGUGAUAUGAACCGUUAUAACCGGCGAUACCCGAAUGGGGAAACCCAGUGUGACUCGUCACACUAUCAUUAACUGAAUCCAUAGGUUAAUGAGGCGAACCGGGGGAACUGAAACAUCUAAGUACCCCGAGGAAAAGAAAUCAACCGAGAUUCCCCCAGUAGCGGCGAGCGAACGGGGAGGAGCCCAGAGCCUGAAUCAGCAUGUGUGUUAGUGGAAGCGUCUGGAAAGGCGCGCGAUACAGGGUGACAGCCCCGUACACAAAAGCGCAUGUGCUGUGAGCUCGAUGAGUAGGGCGGGACACGUGGUAUCCUGUCUGAAUAUGGGGGGACCAUCCUCCAAGGCUAAAUACUCCUGACUGACCGAUAGUGAACCAGUACCGUGAGGGAAAGGCGAAAAGAACCCCGGCGAGGGGAGUGAAAAAGAACCUGAAACCGUGUACGUACAAGCAGUGGGAGCACCCUUUGGGUGUGACUGCGUACCUUUUGUAUAAUGGGUCAGCGACUUAUAUUCUGUAGCAAGGUUAACCGAAUAGGGGAGCCGGAGGGAAACCGAGUCUUAAUUGGGCGUUAAGUUGCAGGGUAUAGACCCGAAACCCGGUGAUCUAGCCAUGGGCAGGUUGAAGGUUGGGUAACACUAACUGGAGGACCGAACCGACUAAUGUUGAAAAAUUAGCGGAUGACCUGUGGCUGGGGGUGAAAGGCCAAUCAAACCGGGAGAUAGCUGGUUCUCCCCGAAAGCUAUUUAGGUAGCGCCUCGUGAAUUCAUCUCCGGGGGUAGAGCACUGUUUCGGCUAGGGGGCCAUCCCGGCUUACCAACCCGAUGCAAACUGCGAAUACCGGAGAAUGUUAUCACGGGAGACACACGGCGGGUGCUAACGUCCGUCGUGAAGAGGGAAACAACCCAGACCGCCAGCUAAGGUCCCAAAGUCAUGGUUAAGUGGGAAACGAUGUGGGAAGGCCCAGACAGCCAGGAUGUUGGCUUAGAAGCAGCCAUCAUUUAAAGAAAGCGUAAUAGCUCACUGGUCGAGUCGGCCUGCGCGGAAGAUGUAACGGGGCUAAACCAUGCACCGAAGCUGCGGCAGCGACACUGUGUGUUGUUGGGUAGGGGAGCGUUCUGUAAGCCUGUGAAGGUGUGUCGUGAGGCAUGCUGGAGGUAUCAGAAGUGCGAAUGCUGACAUAAGUAACGAUAAAGCGGGUGAAAAGCCCGCUCGCCGGAAGACCAAGGGUUCCUGUCCAACGUUAAUCGGGGCAGGGUGAGUCGACCCCUAAGGCGAGGCCGAAAGGCGUAGUCGAUGGGAAACGGGUUAAUAUUCCCGUACUUGGUGUUACUGCGAAGGGGGGACGGAGAAGGCUAUGUUGGCCGGGCGACGGUUGUCCCGGUUUAAGCGUGUAGGUGUGUGUUCCAGGUAAAUCCGGUUCACUUUAACACUGAGGCGUGACGACGAGGCACUACGGUGCUGAAGCAACAAAUGCCCUGCUUCCAGGAAAAGCCUCUAAGCAUCAGGUAACAUCAAAUCGUACCCCAAACCGACACAGGUGGUCAGGUAGAGAAUACCAAGGCGCUUGAGAGAACUCGGGUGAAGGAACUAGGCAAAAUGGUGCCGUAACUUCGGGAGAAGGCACGCUGACACGUAGGUGAAGUGAUUUACUCAUGGAGCUGAAGUCAGUCGAAGAUACCAGCUGGCUGCAACUGUUUAUUAAAAACACAGCACUGUGCAAACACGAAAGUGGACGUAUACGGUGUGACGCCUGCCCGGUGCCGGAAGGUUAAUUGAUGGGGUCAGCGCAAGCGAAGCUCCUGAUCGAAGCCCCGGUAAACGGCGGCCGUAACUAUAACGGUCCUAAGGUAGCGAAAUUCCUUGUCGGGUAAGUUCCGACCUGCACGAAUGGCGUAAUGAUGGCCAGGCUGUCUCCACCCGAGACUCAGUGAAAUUGAACUCGCUGUGAAGAUGCAGUGUACCCGCGGCAAGACGGAAAGACCCCGUGAACCUUUACUAUAGCUUGACACUGAACAUUGAGCCUUGAUGUGUAGGAUAGGUGGGAGGCUUUGAAGUGUGGACGCCAGUCUGCAUGGAGCCGACCUUGAAAUACCACCCUUUAAUGUUUGAUGUUCUAACGUGGACCCGUUACCCGGGUUGCGGACAGUGUCUGGUGGGUAGUUUGACUGGGGCGGUCUCCUCCUAAAGAGUAACGGAGGAGCACGAAGGUUGGCUAAUCCUGGUCGGACAUCAGGAGGUUAGUGCAAUGGCAUAAGCCAGCUUGACUGCGAGCGUGACGGCGCGAGCAGGUGCGAAAGCAGGUCAUAGUGAUCCGGUGGUUCUGAAUGGAAGGGCCAUCGCUCAACGGAUAAAAGGUACUCCGGGGAUAACAGGCUGAUACCGCCCAAGAGUUCAUAUCGACGGCGGUGUUUGGCACCUCGAUGUCGGCUCAUCACAUCCUGGGGCUGAAGUAGGUCCCAAGGGUAUGGCUGUUCGCCAUUUAAAGUGGUACGCGAGCUGGGUUUAGAACGUCGUGAGACAGUUCGGUCCCUAUCUGCCGUGGGCGCUGGAGAACUGAGGGGGGCUGCUCCUAGUACGAGAGGACCGGAGUGGACGCAUCACUGGUGUUCGGGUUGUCAUGCCAAUGGCACUGCCCGGUAGCUAAAUGCGGAAGAGAUAAGUGCUGAAAGCAUCUAAGCACGAAACUUGCCCCGAG
rnacentral:rRNA from 2 species